rnacentral:rRNA from 1 species
UUUCUUUUAUGGAGAGUUUGAUCCUGGCUCAGGACGAACGCUGGCGGCGUGCCUAAUACAUGCAAGUC